rnacentral:rRNA from 1 species
ACUGGGUGUUGGCGCUGGGCGAACGGGUGCGUAACACGUGGAUAACCUUCCUUCAGGUGGGGAAAAANCCAGUGAAAAUUGGGNUAAUACCGCAUAACNAAAAAAGGCACAUGCUGUGCGUUCAAAGGCGCAAGUCGCCAGAAGAGGGAUCCGCGGCCGAUUAGCUUGUUGGUGGGGUAACGGCCCACCAAGGCUUUGAUCGGUAGCCGGACUGAGAGGUUGGCCGGCCACACUGGAACUGAGACACGGUCCAGACUCCUACGGGAGGCAGCAGUGGGGAAUCUUGCACAAUGGACGAAAGUCUGAUGCAGCAACGCCGCGUGGGGGAUGAAGCUUCUCGGAGUGUAAGGCCCCUUUCGACCCGGACGAAUGCCCGCAAGGGUUUGACGGUACGGGUUU